GAUGGACGCUGGCGGCGUGCCUAAUACAUGCAAGUCGAGCGAACAGAUAAGGAGCUUGCUCCUUUGACGUUAGCGGCGGACGGGUGAGUAACACGUGGGUAACUUACCUAUAAGACUGGAAUAACUCCGGGAAACCGGGGCUAAUGCCGGAUAACAUGUUGAACCGCAUGGUUCUACAGUGAAAGGCGGCUUUGCUGUCACUUAUAGAUGGACCCGCGCCGUAUUAGCUAGUUGGUGAGGUAACGGCUCACCAAGGCAACGAUACGUAGCCGACCUGAGAGGGUGAUCGGCCACACUGGAACUGAGACACGGUCCAGACUCCUACGGGAGGCAGCAGUAGGGAAUCUUCCGCAAAGGGCGAAAGCCUGACGGAGCAACGCCGCGUGAGUGAUGAAGGUCUUCGGAUCGUAAAACUCUGUUAUUAGGGAAGAACAAAUGCGUAAGUAACUGUGCGCGUCUUGACGGUACCUAAUCAGAAAGCCACGGCUAACUACGUG
rnacentral:rRNA from 1 species